GGAGCCUUGGCGCAAUGGUAGCGCGUUGGUUUUCGGUAUGAAAACAUCAGCAGUUGUCUUCUUCAACUUGUUCACCAAAGGUUGUGGGUUCGAUCCCCAUGGGCUUCG